UGGCGUUAACGGGUGACGGAGAAUUAGGGUUCGAUUCCGGAGAGGGAGCCUGAGAAACGGCUACCACAUCUAAGGAAGGCAGCAGGCGCGCAAAUUACCCAAAUCCUGAUACAGGGAGGUAGUGAAGAUAAAUAACAAUACCGGUCCUUUCUAGGUCUGGUAAUUGGAAUGAGAACAAUUUAAAUACCUUAUCGAGGAACAAUUGGAGGGCAAGUCUGGUGCCAGCAGCCGCGGUAACACCAGCUCCCAUAGCGUAUAUUAAAGUUGUUGCAGUUAAAAAGCUCGUAGUUGGAUAUCUGGUAAGGAUGCCUGGCCCGCCAUCUUUGGUGGUGAGUUGCCGGUUGUCAACCUUACCAUCCUUCUGGAGAACAGUCCCGUGAUAUCCGUCGUGGGAUUGGGAUCUGGAUCUUUUACUUUGAAAAAAUUAGAGUGUUCAAAGCAAGCGUUUUGCUGUGAAUACAUUAGCAUGGAAUAAUGAAAUAGGACAUCGGUCUUAUUUUGUUGGUUUCUAGGACCGAAGUAAUGAUUGAUAGGGAUAGUUGGGGGUGCUUGUAUUGAACGGCCAGAGGCGAAAUUCUUGGAUUCGUUCAAGACAAACUAAUGCGAAAGCAUUCACCAAGGAUGUCUUCUUUAAUCAAGAACGAAAGUUGGGGGAUCGAAGACGAUCAGAUACCGUCGUAGUCUCAACCAUAAACGAUGCCAACUAAGGAUCAGUGAACGUUGUUUGUAGACUUCAUUGGCACUUUACGAGAAAUCACAAGUUCUUGGGUUCCGGGGGGAGUAUGGUCGCAAGGCUGAAACUUAAAGGAAUUGACGGAAGGGCACCACCAUGGCGUGGAGCCUGCGGCUUAAUUUGACCCAACACGGGGAAACUUACCAGGUCCAGACAUAGUUAGGAUUGACAGAUUGCAGAUCUUUCUUGAUUCUAUGGGUGGUGGUGCAUGGCCGCUCUUAGUUGGUGGAGUGAUUUGUCUGGUUAAUUCCGUUAACGAACGAGACCUCAGCCUGCUAAAUAGUCAGGCGAACACUUGUGUUCGUCGGCGACUUCUUAGAGGGACUGUCGGUUUCUAGCCGAAGGAAGUUUGAGGCAAUAACAGGUCUGUGAUGCCCUUAGAUGUCCUGGGCUGCACGCGCGCUACACUGUUGCACACAACAAGCUUCAUCCUGGAUCGACAGGUCUGGGUAAUCUUUGAAAGUGCAACGUGACGGGGCUAGAGUAUUGCAAUUAUUACUCUCAAACGAGGAAUGCCUAGUAAUCGCAUGUCAUCAGCGUGCAAUGAUUACGUCCCUGCCCUUUGUACACACCGCCCGUCGCUCCUACCGAUUGAAUGAUCCGGCAAAAUCUUCGGACCGUAGCGCAGAUUCGGGUUUCCGGUCUGCGCAUCUGGGAAGUUGAUUGAACCUUAUCAUUUAGAGGAAGGAGAAGUCGUAACAAGGUU
rnacentral:rRNA from 1 species